rnacentral:lncRNA from 1 species
GGGGGUGUUAUCUUAUUUUUCAUGUGACGUCACACCGUCGUCGGCUGGCGGUGUCCGCCAUGUUGGAGAACAGCGACAAACGCGCGCGAGCAUGCCCAAGCGUGCGCACGAGUGUUCAUCGCUGUCUUCCUGCAGUCUGUCGGCGUGGUAGUCAUUGAUUUUGCUACCUUGCGAGCUAUCGAGUGUUUGAAUGAUGGCGCCUGUCAGGCGGAAGGAAUUCUGCCCGUCAUAUUUUGCCGAGCUGGUGGAUCC